rnacentral:lncRNA from 1 species
AAAUAUAGCACAUUGUAUAAUCAAGAAGAAUGAGUUCUCCAUCGCGUUCUAAGAAUGAUGAUAGCACCAGUGAUUAUUUGGGUGAAAAGAAAGAUUCAGAUGGAAAUAAGGGUUCUUCUUCUUCAAAUGGAAGAGAAAAACAGCAUCGUAGCACUGCUGAUUACAUGGUUCGUUCUGAAGAUCCUAAACUCAGAAAUGGUUCACGCUCUUCAAGCUAUGCUUCUACUGGGAAUAAUCCUUAGAGGUAAAAAAAACAUUGCCUAAAUUAUUUCAAAAUUCAAUGUUUGUAUUCAUUAAAAGAAGAAAAGUUCAAAAACAAAGGAAGUGAGUCAAGUGUUGUUGUGUAGCAUGUAGUGUUGUAUCAGUUAUGAAAAAAUAAAUUUGGUAAUUAGGUUCUAUAAAGUAGUUAUGUAGCAGAUAAAAGGAUUAUAUAUCCUAAAUUUGUUUUAAUUAUUGCAACAAUACUUUAAGGUGGUUGUAAUCUCUAUAUUUUGUACAAUCAAAAUAAAAGUUGUUCUGAUUUCAACUUUC